GACGAACGCUGGCGGCGUGCUUAAUACAUGCAAGUCGAACGGAAAGGCCCUGCUUUUGUUGGGUGGAUGAGUGGCGAACGGGUGAGUAACACGUGAGUAACCUGCCCUUGACUUUGGGAUAACUUUAGGAAACUGGGGCUAAUACCGGAUAGGAGCUCCUGCUGCAUGGUGGGGGUUGGAAAGUUUCGGCGGUUGGGGCUGGAAUCGCGGCUUCUCUGCUUGUUGGUGGGGUUGGUGCUUAACAAGGCUAUGACGGGUAGCCCGCCUGAGACGGUGACCGGGCACAAUGGGACUGAGGAGGGGCCCAGACGGCAACGUGCGGCAGCGGGGGGAAAUAUUCCACAAUAGGCCGGAGCCUGGUACAACAACGCCGGGUGCGGAAUGACGGCCUUCAGGUUGUAAACCGCUUUCGCCUGUAACGAACAGUUAGUGACGGUAAUUGGUAAAGAAGCACCGGCUAACUACGUG
rnacentral:rRNA from 1 species